rnacentral:rRNA from 1 species
CCUACGGGCGGCAGCAGUGAGGAAUAUUGGUCAAUGGUCGUAAGACUGAACCAGCCAAGUAGCGUGCAGGAUGACGGCCCUACGGGUUGUAAACUGCUUUUAUGCGGGGAUAACAUGCGUUACGUGUGGGGUUUUGUAGGUACCGCAUGAAUAAGGACCGGCUAAUUCCGUGCCAGCAGCCGCGGUAAUACGGAAGGUCCGGGCGUUAUCCGGAUUUAUUGGGUUUAAAGGGAGCGUAGGCCGCAUGUUAAGCGUGCCGUGAAAUGUCAGUGCUCAACCAGGGCACUGCGGCGCGAACUGGCUUGCUUGAGUGCGCGGAAGGCAGGCGGAAUUCGUGGUGUAGCGGUGAAAUGCUUAGAUAUCACGAAGAACCCCGAUUGCGAAGGCAGCAUGCGGCAGCGCAACUGACGCUGAUGCUCGAAGGCGCGGGUAUCGAACAGGAUUAGAUACCCCUGUAGUC